GUGGGGAAUAUUGGACAAUGGGCGCAAGCCUGAUCCAGCAAUGCCGCGUGUGUGAAGAAGGCCUUCGGGUUGUAAAGCACUUUUAUCGGGAGCGAAAUACUAUCGGUUAAUAACCGGUGGGGCUGACGGUACCCGAGGAAUAAGCACCGGCUAACUUCGUGCCAGCAGCCGCGGUAAUACGAAGGGUGCAAGCGUUAAUCGGAAUUACUGGGCGUAAAGGGUGCGUAGGCGGUUUGUUAAGUCUGUCGUGAAAUCCCCGGGCUCAACCUGGGAAUGGCGAUGGAUACUGGCAAGCUAGAGUGUGUCAGAGGAUGGUGGAAUUUCCGGUGUAGCGGUGAAAUGCGUAGAGAUCGGAAGGAACAUCAGUGGCGAAGGCGGCCAUCUGGGACAACACUGACGCUGAAGCACGAAAGCGUGGGGAGCAAACAGGAUUAGAUACCCUUGUAGUCC
rnacentral:rRNA from 1 species